rnacentral:rRNA from 1 species
GCGGCAUGCCUAACACAUGCAAGUCGAGGGGUAACAGGAAAAAGCUUGCUUUUUCGCUGACGACCGGCGCACGGGUGCGUAACACGUAUGCAACCUACCUUGAUCAGGGGAAUAGCCCAGAGAAAUCUGGAUUAAUACCCCAUAAUAUAAUUCAUUCGCAUGUUUGAAUUAUUAAAGUUUCGGCGGAUCAAGAUGGGCAUGCGGCCUAUUAGUUUGUUGGUGAGGUAACGGCUCACCAAGACUACGAUAGGUAGG